rnacentral:tRNA from 1 species
GGUCCCGUAGCUCAGAUGGAUAGAGCACCGGCCUUCUAAGCCGGCUGUCACAGGUUCGAAUCCUGUCGGGAUCGCCA